rnacentral:misc_RNA from 1 species
CGUCAUUUGCAUCUCGCACCUUGCGAGACCAAGCGAGACUGAGAAACUCAGGUGUGCAAAAUUGCUUUCUUCUGUCUGCUUGGCCGCUCAUGAUGGGCGUGACAGUGGAGACAAUUAAGGAAGGAGACGGUCAGACAUACCCAAAGCCUGGGCAGUAUGUGACUCUCCAUUAUGUAGGUACACUGUUCACAGAGAAUGGCAAGAAAAUAGAUUCCUCUCGAGACAGGGGUGUUCCAUUUACAUUCCAGCUUGGUAAGGGAGAAGUGAUCAAAGGAUGGGAGGAAGGUGUGAAAAGAAUGAGUAUAAAGGGAGAGCUUGAAAAGCGAGAGUUACAUGUCCUCCCAAGCUGGCCUAUGGACAUAGGGGCAUCCUGGAUUGAUACCCUCCAAUGCCACUCUAGUGUUCGACAUCGAACUGCUGAAGCUGAGCUGAAGAUGUUACCAACAUCUCCUAGCCAUCUCCUCAGCAUCGGGAGAGGGCUUCAGGGGGAGAAAACUCCAGUACCAUGGAACGUGAAGAUGACAACAACUGACUGGACACUUUAUAAGAUUAUGAUUACAUGUGCCAGUGUAGAUUUUGUACAUAUGCAACCCAUGUAUUGUCUGAUGUACAUGCUUUGUCAUGCUUUGUUGGGCGAGCCCGGUUAUGUAGUACCUUUUGUGACUAUGUAGGACUGGUGCUAACCCUACUGCCUUGUGCAGGCUGUCAAACACUUUGCUUCUCAGUUGUCUUCAACACUGCUUUGUAUGAUUUCUACAGUCUGCCUGUUAUAUGCUUAUUGAGUCCUCUUUCUCAGCUGUCAUAUUUAUUGAUUGAGGUAUCUGAAGAUUUGCAGAGAGGACUGAUGAACCAUUACUUUCAUGGAAGACUUGGUAGGUCAUUUAGUCAAAGCUGUUAGCCGAUUGCAAAAGGCAUCAUACACGAAUCUCUCAUUGUAGUCAUUUAUAUCAUGUUUAUAUUUGUUUAUUUGGAACUACACAGAUGGGCAGAAUUUUUGUGCAGUUGAUGAAAUUUGGAGUUUUCUGGGGAUGGAUAUGCAUAUCUUCCAGUGUUACAUAAUAUCUUCUUGUUAGUGAUGAAUGAAGACGAAGAUCAUUAUUGAUGUGAUCAGUAAUGCUCUGUAAUUAAUUACAGUUGUCACAUGCUUGCGGAGAAAGUCUUGUUUGUAAAUACAUAACAUUGACAAGCCAGAGAAAGUCGCCAGCAUGGUUAUAAAACAAAGCUUUUUUCCAACUUUGUGAAGUGAUUAUACAUAUUUGUCAUUUGGUGUUGAAAUAUCCUCCUGGUGUGUUUUUCAUUCAUGUAAAAGCUAAGUAAUAUGUAUGGGAGAGCUGAAGAUUAAGGUGAAAGGUGAUAAUUGUGACACUGAAUAGUCCUCUGUAAUAGAUGGGCGGAUUUGUGAGUUAUAUUACAGAUUCAUGGAAUACAAAAUUAUUGUCACAAUGUUUUAAUCCAACUGGGUUUUGAGGAAGCUGUGUAGGUGAAAUACUGCUAGAUGAUUCUAGUGGUGCAGUUCCUCUACUACUUACUUGCAAUGCCAUCAAUGCACUUUGUGAAACUGAAAGGAAAGGAACCUUUUCAUGGCUGGAUUGAAGUUAACCAGCUGUCAACACUCGUUUGUUCUUUCACCCUUUUUUUAUGUGUGCAAUUGUCAGAUGUAAUCCUUAUUAAUAGCCGUUUCUUUCUUUUUUUAUUGACCCAUUUCAAUGCUUUGAAAUAUUUCUCGAAUGUGUUAUGCUUUUCUUUGACACCAUGUUCAUAGUGAUUUCCUGUUUCUUUUGCCUUUAUCCAGAGUUAUCUCCCUUAUGGGGAAAUUCAAAAUAUUAAUGCUGAAUUAAAUAUAGUACAUUAUGUUAUGAGAUGCAUGCCUAACUUUGAAAAAUGUUUAUAUCAACAAAGAGAUUCUGUUGUUAAAGAGUUAUUUUAAUUGACUGAUUUUUAAACUUCCUGUCACAGUGGUAAAUAUUUCAUUAUUUUUUAGUUUGGUUUUUGUGAUUAUGGUGAUGAGAAUUGAAGCUGAUGCUUUCAUGCAAGUUUGUCAAGUGAACAGCUUUUACACCUUUUAAAACUAGAAUGUUAUUUAUGUUGAUUAUAAAACUAAGCGAAAUGAGCUGUUCUUUUAGUGAAAUAUUGACUUUGUCUGAUGGGCAACUUGCAGACAAUUUAUGUCACCCGAACCCCAAAACACAAAACGUAAGAUUUUAUAUCCCAUGUCAAACUAUUAACUGACUACAAUCUUACAAAUCCCCCUUUCCAUGUGACAGACUUGCAGUGACUGUCAAAGUCUGUCAAUUCCUAUUUAAAAAUUUUAUUUCACUGAUUUGAACUCUGUGAAUUAGUAUAUGUAUGAUAUGGUUCAAGUGAUCGGUGAGUGAUAACUACUUCCUGCCUUGUAGCGGCUUCACAAACUACCAAUUUCUUUCUGUUUACAUGUGAUAAGCUUGGAUUCCAGUCAGAUGCAAGCAAUACCAUGAUAUUUACAGAACAAAAUUACACAGCACUUGUUGAUUUUAUUUUGUUAACACGACUAAGGACAUGUUUUGUUAUGGAAUAAGGCUUGUUAUAGAGUUACCAAGAAGAAUUGUGCUAGGAAAGAUUUGUGCCGUAGGAAAUUAUGACAUUGCAAUGAAGAGGACAAGUCGGUGAUGAUGGGUGUAAAUUCCUGUGUACCUGUGAUGCGAUGAUGGCGGUGUUACUAUGCCUUGAGAUGCCACCUAGCUUUGUGAAAGUCUAGGAUAUAGAGUCUGGUAUAUUUGUACAAUAUUAAGCUGUGCACACUGUACGGCAAUGAUGAUGCUGUCACAGGAUGAGCUUGGAGGCCAUACCAUGGAUAUAAUUAUAGAAUUUUGUAUAGCAUCAAUGAUUGCAUUAAAAACCUUUAUCUGCUAUUUA